GACGAACGCUGGCGGCGUGCUUAACACAUGCAAGUCGAACGGUGAUGCUCCAGCUUGCUGGAGUGGAUCAGUGGCGAACGGGUGAGUAACACGUGAGCAACCUGCCCCAGACUCUGGAAUAAGCGCUGGAAACGGCGUCUAAUACUGGAUACGAAACUGGCCCGCAUGGGCAUGGUUUGGAAAGUUUUUCGGUUUGGGAUGGGCUCGCGGCCUAUCAGCUUGUUGGUGAGGUAAUGGCUCACCAAGGCGACGACGGGUAGCCGGCCUGAGAGGGCGACCGGCCACACUGGGACUGAGACACGGCCCAGACUCCUACGGGAGGCAGCAGUGGGGAAUAUUGCACAAUGGGCGAAAGCCUGAUGCAGCGACGCCGCGUGAGGGAUGACGGCCUUCGGGUUGUAAACAUCUUUCAGCAGGGAAGAAGCGAAAGUGACGGUACCUGCAGAAGAAGCACCGGCUAACUACGUG
rnacentral:rRNA from 1 species